AUUGAACGCUGGCGGCAUGCUUUACACAUGCAAGUCGAACGGUAACAGGCCGCAAGGUGCUGACGAGUGGCGAACGGGUGAGUAAUGCAUCGGAACGUGCCCAGUCGUGGGGGAUAACGCAGCGAAAGCUGCGCUAAUACCGCAUACGAUCUACGGAUGAAAGCGGGGGACCGUAAGGCCUCGCGCGAUUGGAGCGGCCGAUGUCAGAUUAGGUAGUUGGUGGGGUAAAGGCUCACCAAGCCAACGACCUGUAGCUGCUCUGAGAGGACGACCAGCCACACGGGGAGUGAGACACGGCCCAGACUCCUACGGGAGGCAGCAGUGGGGAAUUUUGGACAAUGGGCGCAAGCCUGAUCCAGCAAUGCCGCGUGCAGGAAGAAGGCCUUCGGGUUGUAAACUGCUUUUGUACGGAACGAAACGGUCCUGGUUAAUACCCGGGGCUAAUGACGGUACCGUAAGAAUAAGCACCGGCUAACUACGUGCCAGCAGCCGCCGUAA
rnacentral:rRNA from 1 species